AAGAAGGUUAAAUCAGACAAUUAACCUAAUCAUCAGAGGGCAAAUUCGUCUCUUCAUUCAUUCAGCGAGAAGUUCGUUACACUGAUAUCCCGAGUAGCACUGGACGAACAGAAGUUGAUUUUGAAGAAAAUCGACCGAUCGGUGAUCAUGCUCAAUUAUCUGCUUAUCAGAGAGUUUCGAUUGAGGAUGUUUUAAAUCCGCGACCUGCAAAUCCAAUUCCAAUUCCAAUUUCAAGUUCAAGUGCUGCAAACGAGUUUUCUAUUGAUGAAAGGGUUUACACUCCGGAGGUUCAGGCAUCAGCUACACC